rnacentral:tRNA from 1 species
GCGGGUAUAGUUCAACGGUAGAACACUAGCCUUCCAAGCUAGAUAUACGGGUUCGAUUCCCGUUACCCGCUCCA